rnacentral:rRNA from 1 species
AAAUAGAUACCCGGGUAGUCCACGCCGUAAACGAUGAGUGCUAAGUGUUAGAGGGUUUCCGCCCUUUAGUGCUGCAGCUAACGCAUUAAGCACUCCGCCUGGGGAGUACGGCCGCAAGGCUGAAACUCAAAGGAAUUGACGGGGGCCCGCACAAGCGGUGGAGCAUGUGGUUUAAUUCGAAGCAACGCGAAGAACCUUACCAGGUCUUGACAUCCUCUGACAACCCUAGAGAUAGGGCUUUCCCCUUCGGGGGACAGAGUGACAGGUGGUGCAUGGUUGUCGUCAGCUCGUGCCGUGAGAUGUUGGGUUAAGUCCCGCAACGAGCGCAACCCUUGAUCUUAGUUGCCAGCAUUCAGUUGGGCACUCUAAGGUGACUGCCGGUGACAAACCGGAGGAAGGUGGGGAUGACGUCAAAUCAUCAUGCCCCUUAUGACCUGGGCUACACACGUGCUACAAUGGAUGGUACAAAGGGCUGCAAACCUGCGAAGGUAAGCGAAUCCCAUAAAGCCAUUCUCAGUUCGGAUUGCAGG